GACGAACGCUGGCGGCGUGCUUAACACAUGCAAGUCGAACGGAAAGGCCCUGCUUUUGUGGGGUGCUCGAGUGGCGAACGGGUGAGUAACACGUGAGUAACCUGCCCUUGACUUUGGGAUAACUUCAGGAAACUGGGGCUAAUACCGGAUAGGAGCUCCUGCUGCAUGGUGGGGGUUGGAAAGUUUCGGCGGUUGGGGAUGGACUCGCGGCUUAUCAGCUUGUUGGUGGGGUAGUGGCUUACCAAGGCUUUGACGGGUAGCCGGCCUGAGAGGGUGACCGGCUACAUUGGGACUGAGAUACGGCCCAGACUCCUACGGGAGGCAGCAGUGGGGAAUAUUGCACAAAGGGCGGAAGCCUGAUGCAGCAACGCCGCGUGCGGGAUGACGGCCUUCGGGUUGUAAACCGCUUUCGCCUGUGACGAAGCGUGAGUGACGGUAAUGGGUAAAGAAGCACCGGCUAACUACGUG
rnacentral:rRNA from 1 species